rnacentral:rRNA from 1 species
CGGAACGGGUGAGUAACGCGUGAGGAACCUGCCUCAAAGAGGGGGACAACAGUUGGAAACGACUGCUAAUACCGCAUAAGCCCACGGCUCGGCAUCGAGCAGAGGGAAAAGGAGUGAUCCGCUUUGAGAUGGCCUCGCGUCCGAUUAGCUAGUUGGUGAGGUAACGGCCCACCAAGGCAACGACCGGUAGCCGGACUGAGAGGUUGAACGGCCACAUUGGGACUGAGACACGGCCCAG